AUUGAACGCUGGCGGCAUGCUUUACACAUGCAAGUCGAACGGUAGCGGGGUAGUGCUUGCACUACUGCCGGCGAGUGGCGAACGGGUGAGUAAUAUAUCGGAACGUACCGAGUAAUGGGGGAUAACCAAUCGAAAGAUUGGCUAAUACCGCAUACGUCCUGAGGGAGAAAGCGGGGGAUCGCAAGACCUCGCGUUAUUCGAGCGGCCGAUAACUGAUUAGCUAGUUGGUGGGGUAAAGGCCUACCAAGGCGACGAUCAGUAGCGGGUCUGAGAGGACGAUCCGCCACACUGGGACUGAGACACGGCCCAGACUCCUACGGGAGGCAGCAGUGGGGAAUUUUGGACAAUGGGGGCAACCCUGAUCCAGCCAUGCCGCGUGUAUGAAGAAGGCCUUCGGGUUGUAAAGUACUUUUGUUAGGGAAGAAAAGGGAAGUGCUAAUACCACUUUUUGCUGACGGUACCUAAAGAAUAAGCACCGGCUAACUACGUG
rnacentral:rRNA from 1 species